rnacentral:rRNA from 1 species
UACGUAGGUGGCAAGCGUUGUCCGGAUUUAUUGGGCGUAAAGAGCGCGCAGGCGGUUGUGCAAGUCGCGUGUGAAAGCCCCCGGCUCAACUGGGGAGGGUCACGCGAUACUGUUCGACUUGAAGGCAGGAGAGGGAAGUGGAAUUCCCGGUGUAGUGGUGAAAUGCGUAGAUAUCGGGAGGAACACCAGUGGCGAAGGCGACUUCCUGGCCUGUUCUUGACGCUGAGGCGCGAAAGCUAGGGUAGCAAACGGG